GCCUGUGGCUGCACUGAGGGGGUGGGAACUAGUGCCCAUAGAAGGCACCGGGCCGUCGGGAGGCUCUCGCGAGAGUUUCGUACCGGUUCCAGCCUACAGCUCGCGAGGGUUUUCUGUGAGCUGCGUCCAUUCCCUGAGUUGGAGAAGUACAGGCCGGUUUGGAACUUUGUUUUUUCAUUUUACAGGCCGCCACUAUGGCACUUCGUUGAAGUUUCUGGAAGCUGGGAAGUCCAAGAUCAAGGUGCCAGCACAUUUGAUUCCUGGAGAGAACUGUCUUCCUGGCUUGUGGAUGGGUGCCUUCUCAUAGAGUCUUCACAGGGCAGAGAAAUAGACAAUAAGGAUACUAAUACUAUCAUCAGGGCCUCACCUUUAUGAUCUCAUCUAAACCUAAUUGACUCCCAAACGCCCCACCUCUAAAUACCAUUGGGUAUCAGAAGUUCCAGGAACCCAAAUAAAGAUUCUCGCCUAAACACACUGCUUGCUCCUUUCCUUCCUGACCAAAACCUGGUGUUCCUCCUGUGGCCUUGUGGGGUGAGCUGUGCCUCUUGUUUCCAGGAACUGU